rnacentral:rRNA from 1 species
UACGUAGGGGGCAAGCGUUGUUCGGAAUCACUGGGCGUAAAGGGAGCGUAGGCGGAAAAAUAAGUUAGAAGUGUAAUGUAUGGGCUUAACCCAUAAUCUGCUUCUAAUACUGUUUUCCUUGAGUAUUGGAGAGGGAGAUGGAAUUCCAGGUGUAGCGGUGGAAUGCGUAGAUAUCUGGAAGAACACCAGCUGCGAAGGCGGUCUCCUGGCCAAAUACUGACGCUGAGGCUCGAAAGUUAGGGGAG